rnacentral:rRNA from 1 species
AAUCAAAUAAUUUUUUUUUUUUUUUUUUUUACUUUCACGGCUAAACUGGAAAAUUUCACAGUUUUCUCUGCGUAUAAGGUUUUUUAAACUGCUGUUGUAUUUGACGGUGGCAGGAGGUGUUUGAAAUUUAAGACGUAAUUGUGUUCUAUCCCCGACCCAAUGUUUUUUAAAUUGCUGUGGUAUUUUGACUAUACAAAGGUAUUGAAAUAAGACUUUAAUUGAGUGCUAAGAGAAUGGAAUUUCAUAAAAUUUCUUUUUUAAUUUUAAAAAUUGAAAUUAAUUUUAUAUGUGAAGAAACAAUAAUAAAAAUUAAGGACAAGAAGACCCUAAGAAUUUUAAAGAAUUCAAUAAAAUACAAAAUUUUAUUGAAUUCUUUUAAUUGGGGCGAUUAUUAAAUAUUAAAAACUUUAAUUUUUUUAAAAAAGAACCAAUAAUAUUGGUUAUUUGAAAAAAUACUCUAGGGAUAACAGCGUAAUAAUUUUUGAUAGUUCUUAUAGACAAAAUAGUUUGCGACCUCGAUGUUGGAUUAGGAUUCUUUUUUAAUGAAGAAGUAAAAAAAGAAGUUGUCANNUUAAU